rnacentral:misc_RNA from 1 species
GGAAUCAUUCCUCAAGAACCAACACUUUUCCAAGGUUCAGUAAGAUACAAUCUCGACCCCCUGGGACAACAUACAGAUCAACAAAUAUGGGAGGUUCUUGAUAAAUGUCAGCUGCAAGAAGCUGUUCAAGAAAAGGGACAGGGACUUGAUUCUCUUGUUUCUGAAGACGGAUCAAAUUGGAGCAUGGGGCAGCGACAACUAUUUUGCUUGGGGC